UCAAAUCCUCGUACCGAAUGACCUGCGAACACGUUCCGAAAAUCACAAGCGCUGUUGCGCCCUUGCUCGGUGUGGGUCGGCGACUUGUUGCCGGACGCGUCGAGCAUCGAAAACAAAAUCCGGCGCGGGAAGCGCCAAGGACUAGCGAAAUAGAGGACGGCCUUCCCGCGGCAUCCUGGCCGCGGGGAUUAAAAAGGGUCUCCAAAUGAAAAUGUUGUAUAAUUACAGUACGACUCUCGGCAACGGAUAUCUAGGCUCUCGCAUCGAUGAAGAACGUAGCAAACUGCGAUAGUUGGUGUGAAUUGCAGAAUCCCGUGAACCAUGGAGUCUUUGAACGCAAGUUGCGCCCGAAGCCAUUAGGCCGAGGGCACGUCUGCCUGGGCGUCACACGCAUUGCGUCGUCCCCCCCUCACCCGUGUCCCGAAAGGGUCGCGGGCCUUAGCGUGGGGGGGCGGAAGUUGGCUUCCCGUGCAGCGUUUGCGGCUAGCCUGAAACAACGGUUCCCUCGGCGCGGACGUCGCGACAAGUGGUGGUCGUCGAGAUUGUACGCGAGUUGCCGGCAAGCUGCGUCGAGGAGAGCAUUUGGACCCCGUGCGAGACGAGUCCCUUCAGCGAGGGGCAA
rnacentral:misc_RNA from 2 species